GUUUCCGAUACUCACCUUUAAGUUUCAGGUGAGUAUGUCAAACUUUCAGCUACGCAAGCCAGACAGUUCUGCAAGCACUCGUACAGUUGAAUCAGAUAUGAAAAAAAAAAAAAAAAACGUAACCAAACUCAUGUAACUGUAUUGACGCAGUUUUACCACUAGAGGGUACUGUGCUCCUGUGCAAUUAUCAGGGUGAGUUUUCAGACACCUGGAUAGAGAACUGAACGUACUUGGAGAAUUGACAAGGGGUUCUGUCCAGGUGUUGGCUGUGAAAAGUUGAUCUUCUCCACGUGAGGCCCUGUAAUGGAACUUUCCAGGCUGUGUGGCAUUCAUUACUGGCUAUAUUCAAGAUUCCACUGUCCAAGAUUGAUGGCGACCCUUUGACCUUUUCCGAAAAAUCCCGUCAGAGAGAAAUGCAAACGAAGAUGUCACUGUUGGACCUGCAGUCGAGUGAAUCCAAGCAUCCAUUUCAGCUCUGGAAACGUCAAUAAAUUGUGAGCAGAGGAGGAUGUGGUAUGUCGAAGAGGAUGAGCUGAAUCAGAGAAAAGAAAAAGUGAAGCAGACGAGCUGUCUGUCCUUCACUCAGACACAGGACACAACAGAGGCGAUGGCAGAACCAAGCACAGCUGGGAUUUUCCCACACGGCAAGGUCAGAAAUUAGUGCGGCUCAGGGCAAAAUGCCCCAGAAAUGUUUGAAUUACACUUGAAUUUCUCAUGAUAGCGGCUUUUAAUAAAUCCUCUAAAGUCUUAAAAAUAUACAGCUAGCUAACAGAAUUGGACAGGGUCAGUUGCCAUAAGUGUUAGCAUUCAUACAAAAACAAAGAUAUUGUUGGAUCACACACAUCACUAGGAGGGUUAUUGCCAAAUGCUAUUCAGACCCCUAAGCUAUUGUGGGAAAUCUUAAAGUGUGACUUUAAGGCAGCUGAAAGGUACCAACAUUUUUUUGGUAAAUUACUUUAUUUCUGCCAGAAAAAAUGCAAGAAGUAACUAAAAAUGUAACAUGUUUGAGUGAGUGAAUAAAACGAAUCAUAUUUUUGGGGACGUGAGUAGUAACUGUACUAUUGUACCCAAACCUUAUACAGGGUAUAAGGACUUUAACUGCUUCAGGUGGUGCUUUGUUAACAAUGAUCAACUUUGUCCUUGUUUUCACCCCAAACCUACUUAUUCUGACCUUUAAUCUGCAGAGUAAUUCCUGAUUUGUCUCAUUGAACAACUGGGUGCAGACCUUGGUGUAAAUGUCUCUAGUUGAAGGCCAUAUCACAGCCAGUCCUCCUCAGUCUGCCCUCUGCUGCUAGUCUGGUUCACAGAUACUCAGACCAUAUUUGUGGGGAGUGAAUUCCUGCAUCCACCACUGUCAUGCAGCAGACCAGGCUGCAGAUUUGUGCAAAGUCCCCAUGAAACAUGUAAUUAUACAAAAGCUAUACAGACAUAUAUGCUGCUCUGGUGGGAGGUGGAGGCUGUUGUUGUCUCAUCAUGGAUCAGAGUUGUGUGUGUGUGUGUGUGUGUGGGGAGGGGUACCUCACAUACAGACGGUGUUCAUUAAUCUGAGAGAGAAAAGGAAUAGGACUAAGAAAAGAAAGAAGAAGAUGGCUCCAAAGAUAGGUGUGAAGAUAAGGAGAAACAAAUGUUAGAAUAAAGGGAAUAUGUUAGAAUGAAGGAAGGAGACGUGAAGGAUGGGAGAAGACAAAAAUAUAAGAGGUGGAGAAAAACGGGACAGGGAAAGGUGAAAGGAGAGUUAAAAGGAAAGGAAAAGAAAAUUUAGAGGCAGAGAAAAAUGGAGAAAGACAAAAGUAAAGAGAGUGGCAUGGAAAGGGGGCAAGAAAGGAGACAAGGAAACAAACAAAAGGGGAUAAGGGGAAUGUGAGAGGCAAAAGAGAAAAAGUAGGAAGUGAAGGGAAGAGAAAAGAAAGAAUUAAAGAUGUUAAGAAAGUAAGAAGGAACGUGGUGAGCAUAGAAAAAGGGUAGGGAGCUACAGAGUAUGGGAGAAAAGAAGGGAGGAAGAAGGAACGAAAGACAGAGAAAGACAAAGAGAGUCCUCAUCCUCCUUCCUUCCUUCUUUCCUUCCUUGCAUCCUUCAGCUGAAGAAAACUUGAGGUCUAUAGGAAUGUGCUGAUGACUGACUGUUUCAUCUUGGUCUCACAUUACCACCCAGACUGAACCUCACUGACCCGACACACACACACACACAGAUGCUGGUAUUUGUCAUUGUGCCUGUAUUUUGAUGCCCCUGGUUUCCAGGGUUACGGCUGGUGUGAGAGCAAACAGUCACUGGAAAGAUGGAAAGCUGUCCUGUAAGCACUCUGGUGGUUUUUUGGCCUGUUGGACGUAGGUUUUUAUAACCAUAUCCACUCUUUCUGACCCUCAGCAUGGGAAGAAAAAAAAACUCACAAUGAUGUCUUUACAGUGGAAAAUAAUCUUAGAAAACUUGGUGCAGUUCCUCCCUUCUUCACAUCUGUAGGUCAGUCAUUUACUUAAACCUUUAAUAAUCAGACCAGGAAAAAGGGAGAAGAUAUUUUGCAUUUUUCUGGAGAAAUAUUUUAAUUAAUAAAAGUAGAAACACUGUUUAAGAGGGGCUCAGUUAAAAAAAACAAAACAUUUUCUAAAAAUCUGGUUACACCCUCUUUGCAUCAUCUCUGGACCAAAACUCUCUCAGUUCCUCAGUGAUUUUCCAACACUGAUGAUGUUAUGACUAAGGGAAAAAACUGUGUCUGUGGAGGACGAUCAGAUCAGAUCAGAUCAGUCUGAUGACCUGGUCUGACUCAUCCUUGUGAACAGUGUAGGUGUCCAGGUUAUUGUUUUAAAUAUAGAAUUCAUGUUUGCCCUGGUCCUUCUUCUUAACCACCACCUGGAUCAUUUAAAAAAGUCUGGCUUGGAUUUAGCUCUUCUUACGUAACUUCUUGUCAUCUUUGUGCUAACAUAUUGAAUUCUUCUACUUUCUGGUAAUGGAUUCAUGAUGAUUGUAAAUACUUAGCCAGUUGUUACCUUGUUUGUUUGGAAAUUUCUUAACAUGGUGUUUGUGGUAGAAGUGCAAUUAAUGCAAUAAAUGCAUUUCUCCUGCAAAGAAACUUUGGAUGGGGAUGGUGAAAAACAAGGAUUCCAAAAGGCUGGCAGAUAUAAAUAAUCGCGACAGCAGCAACAGAGAUGUGACAAUUACAGACGUGUUGUUGUUGGGUCAUGUCUGCAUGGGUCCAGUUAAAUUGUGUUGUGCUAUUUCCUCCUCUCCGCAUCAAUCUCUGGAUGCACGGACCUUGUUAUUACCAGGCACUGAUGUAAAUAGCAGGCAGUAGACUGAUGUUGUUUGUGUGUCUGCGUCAUUCUGUGGAGUUGUAUUUAAUUCAUUUGACUAAAGACGCAUGAUUUUUAUUAGACAGUUGACUCGCAGUGGAGUUUAAUAAAGUUUUGUGGAAGAAAAGUCAUUUUAUAAUCAAACGCACAGACAGAAUUAUAUAUUUUUUGUGUUAAGAUUGUUGCUCACAGACUUUAAAAAAUGGACAGAACCCCUUGUGGAGAAGCCUGGAAAUCAUUCUUUAUUGAUACUGUAAGGAAGAAAUCAUGUCAAAAUCACAAAAAUUAAAUCAAAUACGUCUGUCAUAUUUGCUGUAUUACUGCCGUUUAUACACAAGUAAACAAAGGAAUCUGUGCUCCUCUCAGAUGUGACAG